CUAGCUUCCCAUUCCCUGAGGAUGCUUGCUGCGUGCACAGCGGACUCGGGGAGUGCUGCCCUGUGGGUGCCAUGCCUGUGGCUAUGCCUUCCUGAGGCAGGAGCGGGGAGCACAGGGGGCUGAGGAGCUGCCCGGGGCCGGGCACCCUGCAGUCAGCCCAGGGCCCGUCUUGCUGCAGCCGGCUCGUUCCUCAGGAGCUGUAAUCCCUUCCUUUGACUCUCCCCCAGCUGGACUGCCCCAGUUUCAAACACUACAGAUAGAAGUCUUGGCCCUCACCAGUCGUCAAAUUGCAGAAAUCCCUGUGUUCCUUUGGGAAGUCGGUUGGGGAUGAGUGAAGUGGCCCUCUGGGAAAUCCCUGCAGAACAUUGUGGUGUUGCAGGCAACACAGGAAAUUGAGGAAAUAUUCAGAUAAGUUGGAAGUGGUCUUGCUGCACAAGGAUGAGAAAUUGCCCACGUGGUUCUGUGACAUUGUUCUUCAGCUGCAGUUCUUGGGAGAUCGCCGCAAUUGUUAACAUCCAAACAAAAACAGUCUAAUGAAAGUAUUUUAAUCUGCUGAUCAGCUAUUCAGAGCAAAAGGGAUAGCCAUGCUAGGUGUCUGUGGAGUGUGGAAAUUAAUGCAGCAAUGAGCAGGUAUCAACAAGGAUGAAACCUCCUCUAUGAACUGUGAAGCUGAUAGGACAUCUGAUCUUCCUCCUUGGCACCACGGGGAUUUGACCAGAUAACCUAAAGCUUGUUGCUGGGGAGCAGCAGUAGCAGACUGUCAUCAACAAGCAUUUAUUAGAGUUUGAAGAUUGAAGGAGAUUUGUCUCAGGUGUCACGGUAAACACAGGAAGAAGGACGAGGAGAAGUGGAUGUGGUUGGCUACAGAUCUUUAAAGAGAGGAUGUGAUCCAGCCUUGAGACAGUUUUCAGCUGCAACAAAUGGCAUUGCUUGUGAUUGUAUCUAUUGUGGAUGAGGCAAAUAACUGCAGGGCCUGAGUAAUAGCUUCAACUGGGUGAAUUAUAUUUGAGGAAUGGAAGUAUCAUGGAAUCACAGAACAUCCUGAGUUGGAAGGGACCCACAAGGAUCAUCAAGUCCAACUCCCGGCUCCACACAGGACUACACAGAAAUAAAACGGUAUGUCUGAGAAUGAAUACUGUGCCAGUCAUUCUGAAAUUAUUCACUUACUGUGGUCAAUUAAUGCUCUUGAAUAUUCUGGAUAUGGAAGAAAAAUUCCAGGAGAAGAUCCCAUUAAAUUUCAGGGAGCUGUUUUUUUCUUGGCUCUUUGAAAAAAUGAAGUUAACUAGAAUACUUAUGUGGAAUAUGAAGAAGCCAGGUUUGGCUCAUUUUCUUUAGACCAGGAAAUCAAAUUGUUCCUGUUUCACCAGUCAGAGUGUCUGAAACAUCUGGCUGUUGGUUAUCCUGGUGAGGUGAGGGCUCGCUGGGGUCUCUCCUGGUUGGUACACAACUCUCACAACUGAAUUCCACUCGUGCAAGAGCUGGUGCCCUAACAGACGUCACAGUGGUACAACUGGUCAAACAUACCGAUACCUUCUAUGAAAUGUCAGUCCAGGGGUAUCUUUGUGGUUGUUGUAAGGGCAAGAAAAAUAUGCAGCAAGAAGUUCUCGUUCUUCUCCUUCCCUUGGCUGUUCCUGCCCCUCUGCUCCUGCCGCUGCUGACUGUCACAGGGGUUCAGGAUCAGCCCCUUGGUCUGGCAGUGAAGAGCCCUGGUCUGCAUUGUGUCCCUGACAACAAAAAG